GACGAACGCUGGCGGUGUGCCUAAUACAUGCAAGUAGAACGCACAGUUUAUACCGUAGCUUGCUACACCAUAGACUGUGAGUUGCGAACGGGUGAGUAACGCGUAGGUAACCUGUCUUGUAGCGGGGGAUAACUAUUGUAAACGAUAGCUAAUACCGCAUAAUAUUGAUUAUUGCAUGAUAAUUGAUUGAAAGAUGCUAUUGCAUCACUACCAGAUGGACCUGCGUUGUAUUAGCUAGUAGGUGAGGUAACGGCUCACCUAGGCGACGAUACAUAGCCGACAUGGGGGAGUGAUCGGCCAACCUGAGACUGAGACCGGGCCCAGACUCCACCGGUAGGCGGCAGUAGGGAAUCUUCAGCAAUGGACGAAAGUCUGACCGAGCAACGCGGCGUGAGUGAAGAAGGUUUUCGGAUCGAAAAGCUCUGUUGUGAGAGAGGAACGGAUGUGAGAGUGGAAAGUUCACACUGUCACGAUAUCAUGCCAGAAAGCAGCGGCUAACUACAU
rnacentral:rRNA from 1 species